rnacentral:rRNA from 1 species
GACGAACGCUGGCGGCGUGCUUUACACAUGCAAGUCGAACGGAAAGGCCCUGCUUUUGUGGGGUGCUCGAGUGGCGAACGGGUGAGUAACACGUGAGUAACCUGCCCUUGACGUUGGGAUAACUUCAGGAAACUGGGGCUAAUACCGGAUAGGAGCUCCUGCUGCAUGGUGGGGGUUGGAAAGUUUCGGCGGUUGGGGAUGGACUCGCGGCUUAUCAGCUUGUUGGUGGGGUAGUGGCUUACCAAGGCUUUGACGGGUAGCCGGCCUGAGAGGGUGACCGGCCACAUUGGGACUGAGAUACGGCCCAGACUCCUACGGGAGGCAGCAGUGGGGAAUAUUGCACAAUGGGCGGAAGCCUGAUGCAGCAACGCCGCGUGCGGGAUGACGGCCUUCGGGUUGUAAACCGCUUUCGCCUGUGACGAAGCGUGAGUGACGGUAAUGGGUAAAGAAGCACCGGCUAACUACGUG